rnacentral:rRNA from 1 species
UGACUGCGUACCUUUUGUAUAAUGGGUCAGCGACUUAUUGUCUGUAGCAAGCUUAACCGUUUAGGGGAGGCGUAGGGAAACCGAGUCCGAAUAGGGCGAUUUAGUCGUCAGGCGUAGACCCGAAACCGGAUGAUCUACUCAUGGCCAGGUUGAAGGCAAGGUAACACUUGCUGGAGGACCGAACCCACUAGUGUUGCAAAACUAGGGGAUGAGCUGUGGGUAGGGGUGAAAGGCUAAUCAAACUGGGAAAUAGCUCGUACUCCCCGAAAUGCAUUUAGGUGCAGCGUUGGGAAGAGUGUUAUGGAGGUAGAGCUACCAAUAGGGCUAGGGGGCUUCACCGCCUACCAACCCCUGAUGAACUCCGAAUGCCAUAACAUUGCACCAGCAGUGAGGGCUUGGGUGAUAAGGUCCAAGUCCGAGAGGGAAAGAACCCAGACCAU